rnacentral:rRNA from 1 species
CUCGAGUGGCGAACGGGUGAGUAACACGUGAGUAACCUGCCCUUGACUUUGGGAUGACUUCAGGAAACUGGGGCUAAUACCGGAUAGGAGCUCCUGCUGCAUGGUGGGGGUUGGAAAGUUUCGGCGGUUGGGGAUGGACUCGCGGCUUAUCAGCUUGUUGGUGGGGUAGUGGCUUACCAAGGCUUUGACGGGUAGCCGGCCUGAGAGGGUGACCGGCCACAUUGGGACUGAGAUACGGCCCAG